AUGGCGUCGGGCGCCGCCAGGUCGUCGCGGUCGCGCCCGGCCGGCCACUCCGGCGUGCUCCCGGCGGGCGCCGCGGCGGCGGGCGGCGUCGGCGGGGGCGCCGGCGUGCAGCUCGCCGACAAGCUCAAGAUCUUCAAGACCGACAAGUUCGACCCCGACUCGUACGUGCAGUCCAAGUGCCAGACCAUGACCGAGAAGGAAAUAAGGCACCUGUGUUCUUAUCUGCAAGACCUAAAGAAGGCUUCUGCUGAAGAGAUGCGUACAAGUGUAUAUGCUAAUUAUGCUGCAUUCAUCAGAACAUCGAAGGAGAUAUCUGAACUUGAAAGGGAGCUGCUAUCUAUCCGAAAUCUGCUAAAUACAGAGUCAGCUCUAAUUCAUGGUCUAUCCGAAGGGAUUCAGAUUGAUUCCUUGAUUAUGGGACCUGAAGAUUCCGCAGAAGAGAACAUCUCCACUGUUGAAUACCAGGAACUUUCAGAAAUACAGAAAUGGCAUAUAGAUUUUCCCGACAAGCUUGAUGUCUUGCUAGCUGAGAGAAGAGUGGAUGAAGCACUGGAUGCCCUGGAUGAAGCAGAACGAAUUGCUGUUGAUGCAGAAAAGAAACAGACUCUUGCCACAGCUGACAUUGUUGCUUUGAAGGGGGUUAUCUCUGAUAAUCGUCAGAAGCUGUCAGAUCAACUUGCUGAAGCUGCCUGCCAGUCUUCUACUUGUGGCGUUGAACUUCGUGCUGCAGCUUCUGCUCUCAAGCGACUUGGUGAUGGACCUCGUGCUCAUAGUUUGUUGCUCAGUGCACAUAACCAAAGGCUUCAGUCCAAAAUACAAACAACACGUCCGUCUAGCACAGUGCAUAGUGUGGCUUACACCGCGUCUCUUGCAAAGCAAGUUUUCUCUGUCAUAGCUAAUGCUCUCAGUGACUCUAUGGAAGUGUUUGGUGAUGAACCAUCCUAUGCAUCUGAACUAGUUACUUGGGCUACUAAGCAGGCAAUGGAGUUUACCUUGCUUGUGAAGAGGCAUGCUUUAGGAUCUUGUGCAGCAGCUGGGGGCUUAAGAGCUGCUGCCGAGUGCGUUCAGAUAGCACUUGGUUAUACCUCCUUGUUAGAAGCUCGUGGUCUGUCACUUUCAGCAGUUCUCUUGAAACAGUUCAGACCCUGUGUCGAGCAAGCAUUAGAUUCCAAUUUAAGGAGAAUCGAAGAGAGUACUUCUGCAUUAGCGGCAGCUGAUGACUGGGCACUAAUCUAUCCUCCAACUGGUAUAAGGACAUUUGCUAGAGCAUCUGCUGGUAAUUUGGCACUCCAGCCGAAGCUCUCGAGCAGUGCCCAUCGGUUCAAUUCAAUGGUUCAGGAUUUCUUUGAGGAUGUUGGGCCACUGCUUAGUUUGCAGUUGGGUGGUUCUAUAAUGGAUGGGCUUCUGAAAAUAUUCAAUACAUAUGUCGAUUUGCUCGUGAGUGCACUGCCGGGCUCAAUGGAUGAUGAAGCAAAUUUGGAAGGUUUAGGAAAUAAGAUUAUUCGCAUGGCAGAGACCGAGGAGCAGCAAUUAGCAUUGUUAGCCAAUGCAUCCUUACUUGCCGAGGAGUUGUUACCUAGAGCAGCUAUGAAGCUCUCGUCUGUAAACCAGGCCAGCAUGGGCAGUAUGCGUAUAAGGGGUCCCGACAAGCAAAACCGUGCUGAGCAACGCGAAUGGAAAAGGAAGCUGCAACAUAUGGUGGAUAAACUUAGAGAUAGUUUCUGCAGGCAGCAUGCUCUUGAUCUUAUAUUCACGGAAGAAGGUGACACCCAUCUGAGCGCAGAAAUGUACAUCAAUAUGGACAAUAAUGCUGAAGAGAUAGAAUGGGUUCCAUCUCUAAUUUUUCAGUCCACAUUGCAGGAAUUAUACACAAAACUGAAUAGGAUGGCGAGCAUCGCUGCAGAGAUGUUUGUUGGCAGGGAAAGGUUUGCUACGUUGCUGAUGAUGCGGCUGACUGAAACAGUCAUACUGUGGCUCUCGGAUGACCAGAGCUUCUGGGAGGAAAUCGAAGAGGGGCCAAGGGCUCUCGGCCCCCUUGGUCUUCAGCAGUUCUACCUGGACAUGCAGUUUGUCAUCCUUUUCGGGCAAGGCCGGUUCUUGUCGCGGCACGUGCACAAUGUCAUACUGCACAUAAUUGAUAGAGCGAUGGCAGCAUUCUCUGCUACCGGAUUGGAUCCUGAUAGCGCGCUUCCAAGCGACGACUGGUUCAUCGAAGUCGCGCAAGACAGCAUCAGCAGGAUCAGCGGGAAGGCCCGGGCCGGCAACUCGGAGAGGGAGGUGCACAGCCCGACGGCCUCUGUCUCGGCGCAGUCUGUGUCGUCGGCCAGGUCCCACGGCAGCUCCUAG
rnacentral:rRNA from 1 species